rnacentral:misc_RNA from 1 species
UUAAGUUCAGCGGGUAGUCCUACCUGAUUUGAGGUCAAAUUGUCAAGGGUAUUGUCCCGAGGGACGGUUAGAAGCGAGUCUGAACCCUGUCCACGGCGUAGAUAAUUAUCACACCAAUAGACGGAAGCUCAGUAUGAACCUCGCUAAUGCAUUUCAGGGGAGCAGACCGCGCUGAGGCAGCCUGCACAAACCCCCACAUC